GGAGGGGUUACGUUAGAAAGCGCGGUGGAUACAGCGGGAAGGAGACAGACAGAGAACGAGUCCGGAGCAAGAGAGGAGCCGCGGCUGUUUUACCGUUGGAAACAGUAUGGAAGAAAGCGAAUUUUAAGUGCAACGUGUGUGAAAUUCAGGUUGGAUAAGAUGCCAUUGACAGUCUGCACGUAAACAAGAACUACAAGCUUGGCAAACGUGCUAACUUUGUAACCUGGGACCUGAACCUCGACGUGAACGUGGUUAACGGUGUCAAAUAAAUGAAGCAACGUUACAAUUUGCUGACAAAGUGAGAGGAAGUUCUCCUAUGGCAGCAGAUUACUUCAUGCUUUCUGUGGACCAGACCAUUGUGAAAGGCCACAUCAAUGCCUUCACUGAUGCUCUUGUUUUGAUGUUUGCCACGUGCUACUGCCUGAACAUCUCUUACACAGCAGCCCAAGGAGCAACAUUGGAGUUCUUGCAGAGAUGCCUUUUCAAGAUCAACCCAGACAAGGGAUGGAAAGUGGAGAAGAAUGCUACCAGAAAGCAGCUGGCGGUCAGUCCAAAGGUUCUUUCCCUGAUAACAAAACUUGAACUAUGAAUGGAGGGAGUAAAAAGAAACUUUUCAGAAGGGAGACCAUUGCAAUCCAAUGUCCCUAGUUGCACAGUUCAUGUUGGUCUCAUUCUCAUAUUCUUGAGUGUUCUUUAAUUGUUGUCAAAUAGUACCACUUUGACCCAGAUGAAUACUAGGUACACGUUGUAACCAUCUUUCGAAUAUAGAAUUGGUUCACAGUAAUGUUACUACUUUUAAAUUAUAGGCUUCUUCAGUACCUUCAGUUUUUAAAGUACCAGACUGACUUUUACAUUUUAUUGCUUGCUUUGUGUUUUUAUUUCACUGUGAACAUUAGCUGAACCUACUGUAAACUGUUCUUGAACUGAAGCAGGCAAUUUUUGGACUGCUAGCAGUAUGUAGCCAUGCAACGUUAAGCUUUGUAAGCAAGUAUGUUGCUAGAGCAUUAACUGUUUUCUAUUCUUAUCUGUUGGUCGACAGAAUAAAAUACACAAUGAACAGUA